rnacentral:rRNA from 1 species
UACGUAGGGGGCGAGCGUUGUCCGGAUUUAUUGGGCGUAAAGAGCUCGUAGGCGGCUUGUCACGUCGGGUGUGAAAGCCCGGGGCUUAACCCCGGGUCUGCAUUCGAUACGGGCAGGCUAGAGUGUGGUAGGGGAGAUCGGAAUUCCUGGUGUAGCGGUGAAAUGCGCAGAUAUCAGGAGGAACACCGGUGGCGAAGGCGGGUCUCUGGGCAGUAACUGACGCUGAGGAGCGAAAGCGUGGGGAGCGAACAGG